AACUCUCAGCCAUCAUCAGAGAAGCUUCUUUUUGCCAUGCAGACCAAGAUUAUACAGAGUCACAACUGGCCAAAGUGCAAAGAACUAAUAAUGUCUGUGGAGUGCUCAGCCACAAACGGGGCAUCUCUAUCAGGUCACCACCACCACCCAAGGCUCAAGGAACGUUGAGAAAGAGGCGGUGGAAAUGGUUGUAAGCCAGAGAUCUGGGAUGCUUGUAAUCUUCUGGACAUGACCACUCGCACUUAGGAAUUCACAGCAGCCAUGGCUGCCUGUUAAAGAUCCGUACAGGAGCAAGCCGUCAACAGUCCAGUAUGAACAGCAACAGAAGCCCCACCUCCAGCUGAAGAGCUAUUGGCUCCUGAUGGCUGCUAGGAGAAUGAGUCAGUUUUCUUUCGGGAUGCAUCCCUGGUAGAUGACUAUGGAUGGCCUCACACCCAUGCAUACACGGGCAACACUAACUGGAUUCGGUGGGUUAUUUAACAAACAGGAAAAAGAGGACAUCAAGUUGAGAUGGGCACAUGGGGCAUCUGGGAGGAGAGGGAGGGUGAAUAUGAUUGAAAUAUAUUGUAUAUGCGUGUGAAACUCUCAAAGAAUAAAAAUGUCAUAAAAAUUACAUCGACAUAUUUUAAAAAAUUAUACGUAUGAAGCUGGGCAUGGUGUUGAAAGGUUGUAAUUUCAUCACUUGGGAGGUGGUGGAAACAGGGUCAGGAGUUCAAAGUCAACCUCGGGUUAGACUUUAUGAAACCUGUUUCCACAAACAAAGCAAAUUUGUACGAACUUGGUAGCUUACGCUUACCAUUCUAGCACUAGAGAUGCAGACACAGCGCCGCUGAGAGUUCAAGGCUAACCCGAGCUGCACAGUCAAUUUCAUGGCAGUUUGAACUACAGAAGCUCUGUCUCAAAAAGCCCAAAUAGAUAAUAAACACACUCAUUUGUUUGGUAGGUUGGGGAGACACAGUCUCAGUGUGCAGCCGGGGCUAGCCUGAAACUCUUGACAGCCUCAGCCUUUAGAAUUCGAAAAUCCUGAGAACCAUAUUGCAAACUUGUGAAUUUGGCGGUGAUUUUUGCACCCCUUCUUUAGUAGCUACAAUUUUAACAUUGGGUUCUAUCAGUCACUUUACAGACGAUUCACUGGUGUUUUAGAUUUUUUUUUUUCGUUUUUCGAGGUUUUUUCUGUGUGGCCUUGGCUGUCCUGGAACUCACUCUGUAGACCAGGCUGAUCUUGAACUCUGAGAAUCACCUGCCUCUGCCUCCUGAGUGCUGGUUUUAAAGGCAUGCACCACCGCCGCCGCCGGGCCUUAGAUUCUUAAGGGAAGUCACUUAGGCCAGGCUUGGUGGCGCCCAUCUGUAAUCCUAGCACUCGGGAGGUAGAGGCAGGCGGAUUUCCUGGGAGUUCAGGCUAGCAAGAGCUACACGUUGAAACGCUGUCUCAAAAAUAAACAAACAAACAAAAAUAAACAAACAAACAAACAAUUAAAGUCCUGGAACUAGCAAAGUUGGUAAACUGGAAAGCUUUUCCCACACCACCAGAAAGGCUGUUUGUCAACCAUAAUAAUCAAGAGACCGUGGAGGCUCCCCGGAGGGCGUCACCCUCACACGUCAAUUCCGCUGGCCCCGCGCUCGCCCCAAGCAGCUACCCGCGGAGCCCCAGGCCCGACUUUGGUCCUGCGGGGAAGGACGAAAGUCCCUCGAAGCGGGACGCCCCGGAGCGAGUGCACCGGACGGCUUAAUAGGGAACAAACACAAGCCCGGGGGCCAGAAACAAAACACUGGCUUCGGGGCUCGGCCCCGCCCCCGGAAGUGACGCGAGGCUACGGCGUCGAGGAAGGGCCCCGACAGUGCCGCGGGGGGGGGUUUGAGAGUGGCGGCGGCCGCGGAGCGACGGGCGAGCCGGGCCGUGGUGUGGAGAACGCAGAGCGCGCGUCUGGCGAGUGGCAACCCGACUGGCCACCUCGCCGCCCCAGCCGCGUGUGCGGGGGCGGAGGGCGGGGCUCGAGACCUGCGGCGGCAGGAGAUGCGGGCGGCUGCAGGCACGCGGCUGGCUCGGCUCGGCCGCCGCCGCCGCCGCCUUCUCGGGCCCCGGCGCGGGGGUCGCCUUGGCUGCCGCGCCGUCCUUGAGCUCCUAGCGUGAGGAGCGGUCGGAGACGAGCACCGCGUUCAAGGCCGAGAAGGGUUCCCGCGUACGGCCUGCCCCUUGCUAUGGACAGUGCCAUCACUCUGUGGCAGUUCCUUCUUCAGCUCCUGCAGGAGCCUCAGAAUGAGCACAUGAUCUGCUGGACGUCUAACAAUGGCGAGUUCAAGCUUCUGCAGGCCGAGGAGGUGGCGCGUCUCUGGGGCAUUCGCAAGAACAAGCCCAAUAUGAAUUACGACAAGCUCAGCAGAGCCCUGAGAUACUACUAUGUAAAGAACAUCAUUAAAAAAGUGAAUGGUCAGAAGUUUGUGUAUAAGUUCGUCUCUUAUCCGGAGAUUUUGAAAAUGGAUCCUCUGACGGUAGGCAGGAUCGAGGGAGACUGUGAAACUCUAAAUUCCAUUGAAGCCAGUGGUUCCAAAGAUGCUGAGAGUGGGGGAAAGGAGCGGGCGCCCCAGCCUGCAGCCAAGACAUCUAGUCGCAACGACUACAUACACUCUGGUUUGUAUUCUUCAUUUACUCUCAACUCUCUGAACACCUCCAACCAGAAGCUUUUCAAGUCAAUAAAGAUAGAGAAUCCAGCUGAGAAACUGGCAGAGAAAAAACCUCAGGAGCCAGCAGCCUCUGUCAUCAGAUUUGUAACCACACCCGCCAAAAAGCCACCCAUCGAACCUGUUGCCGUUACCUUUUCAACAAGCCCGAGUAUUUCUCCGUCUUCUGAAGAAACUAUCCAAGCUUUGGAGACGCUGGUUUCUCCCACACUACCCGCUCUGGAAGCCCCGGCCUCUGCAUCCAUUCUGGCUACUGCUUUUAACCCCGCCUCUCCAGUCCCCUCCGCACCCCUCCCUCCAAAGGAGCCUCCUAGGACGCCUUCUCCACCACUGAGUUCUAACCCAGACAUCGACACAGACAUUGACUCAGUGGCUUCUCAGCCAAUGGAACUUCCAGAGAACUUGUCACUGGAGCCUAAAAAUGAGGAUUCAGCUUUGCCAGAAAAGGACAAAACAAAUAACUCCUCAAGAUCCAAGAAGCCCAAAGGGUUGGAACUGACGCCCGCCCUUGUGGUCACAGGCAGUGACCCCAGCCCCCUGGGGAUCCUAAGUCCGUCCCUCCCAACAGCGUCUCUUACACCAGCCCUUUUUUCACAGACGCCCAUCUUGCUGACUCCGAGCCCCUUGCUCUCCAGUAUCCACUUUUGGAGUACUCUCAGCCCGUUUGCUCCCCUGAGCCCCGCCAGACUGCAAGGUGCUAAUACGCUUUUCCAGUUUCCUUCCGUGCUCAACAGUCAUGGACCAUUCACUCUGUCUAGCCUGGACGGACCUUCCACUCCUGGCCCAUUUUCUCCAGACCUACAGAAGACAUAACCCAUGCAGUUGUGGACUAAGAGACCAAGGAACUAAGAAACAGAGAUGUCCAACAUGAUUUGGUUUGAAAUGAGGGCAAAUUCUGCAGUGCUCAUACAGACUGUUGUAAUUUUCCCAUUGCCUGUUGAAAGCCUUUUCAGGAUUCUCCGAAGUUGGAAAGUAUAAAAAUGCCUUAAUUGGAGUCCAAACUCCACCUCACUUCUUUUUUAAAAGGUUGUUGUUAUUGCUGUUUUUUGUUUAUUUUCUUAAGCUUUGUGCAAAAAAACAUUGGUCUGUUGGGGUUUAGCAGCUUUGUUUUGCAAGAAAGUUCGAGAACAAAGUUACGGGUCCUAGAUGUUAGGACUCUUUGGCCAGGGGGAAAAAGCUUAGAAUCUGUUAUUUAAAGAAAAUAUUUGUUAGCUGUGUAUGAUGGCCCACCUCUGUGAUCCCAACACUUGGGAAGCUGAGGCAGGAGAACACCAAGAGUUGAGGGCCAGCCUAGGCCAUAUAUAUAUAUAUAGUGAGACUGUCUCAAAAGGAUAAAAAUACUGCUUAAACAAAAUUGGUAGUAUAUUUAGUAGUAAGUAUUCUCUGUUGAAUGACUAAAAGGGAGCCGCUCAUGAACAGUGGGAGAAAGAAUCAUUCCUAGUCUUAGGAGUAUAGAGUGUUUGGGGAGCCUCUGUUUUGCUGUGGGCUCUGACGUGAUAGCUCCAUAGAAAAGCAUCUGGUUUGCACUCAUCCUGGGUGGGAUCUCUGUACUAUACCUGUGAUCUCGUCUGAACCUGUCAACAGGCCCCGAGUUUUUUAACACUCAGGCUCUGAAAGCUCAGUUUUAAGGUGGGUUUUGGAGCAUUCCAUGAAAAUACAGGACCCCCACUUCAGGCACAGACCUCUUGUCUGCUCUCUGAGUGGUGUGGUUCUGUAUUAUCUGUGCAGCACAUCUCAGAAAAUGAUGAUUUUUAGGAGAAUAGAGUAGGAUUUGAAAACUGAAUAUUGGAAGCAAGCAGAAAGGUUCAGUUGAAUACCCUGAGACACAAGGUGGGGCAUUUCCCAGCCAGAAGACACCCAGAGUGACAGCCCCCUUUUCUUCUUGCUUAUUUUAUCCACUUCUGCUGUGCACUCACCAUGCAUCCUUUUACAUCUGAGGUCAGAGGAGGAAGCAGUGUUAGGGUGUUAUCAGGAAAGUGGACUGGAAAGUGAAACUUUCCCGUCAGUCAGGAGAUGCAGGUGUGCUCAUUUCUUUCCAAAAAUGUUUUAAAUUAUGGAAGAUCAGAUUGCAUUUGGCCAUUCUCAUACAUAGGAAUAUGAUUGUUAAAUUAGUAAUGAGAACCUACUUCUCAUUACUACGGCCACCUUCUCAUAUUGUCACAUUUAUGAAAUACUGUGUGGUGAGUCAGAGCCAGAUGUACACAGGAACAUUGAUCUCUCAGAUUGAAUUGAGAGCAGUCUCACAGUGGAAUCUUGAACAUUUUGACUCUAAAGUCCAGAACUAAAUUAAAUUACAUGCCCCACCCUCCACCCAUUAAACCCUAGACAUGACCUGAGUGGAAUGAUGUGGGGCUGGGAAGCUCAGAAUGACAUGGAUACAGAGUGGCAUCUUUCAGGUGCACAGCAUUGGCUGUCCAGUGCAGAGAUGCUUAAGUAUAGAAGUGUGUGCUGGCUGGGUAGUGAACGGCGACAGUGAGCUCCCGUUUCGUGGGGCAGUUGGAGACCUGUUACUGGUUCCUUUGUGCUUGUCUACAUGUUCUGUUCUCAUGAUGUGCAAUAGUAGGGUUGAAAGGUCGUGUUCAGAGGGAAGGGAACAGGCACUAUAACGGACUUUCUUCCCAUGGUAGAUUGUUUAGUUUGCAUGCAUAUUUGGAAUUACCCUCAGCAGCACUUUGUAGUAAUUUAGUGGGUUAAUAUAGUGUGUACUAAGUAAAUAUUGAGAGUUGACCUACCUAGGUGUUUGAAAUUCUAGAAAACAUAAAAAAGUUUUAUCUUCCUGAGUUAAAGGAGAAAAGCCAUUGGUUUAUUUUCACAGAUGAUAUAUUUGAUAACUUACUGUUUUUAGCACAGAAGUGCCAUGGAUCCAAGGGCACCAUUGAAACUCAGGCUAGGUGUGGUAGCACAGGUCUGUGAUCCCAGCACAUGGGAAGUGGAAGCUGGAGGAUCAAGAAUCAGGGAUAGCCUCAGCUACAUAGUGAGUUUGAGACUAGCUUGGAUUACAUGAGACCCUGUCUCAAAAAAAAAAACAAAAACAAAACAAAAAAAAAACAGAAGCAAAAAACCCAGAGCAACUUUGUAAGAAACCGUGAGGCCUUGGGCAAUAGAGGGACCUGCUUUCUUCUUGAAAUGAGUGAGUUCCAGGAAGCAUGUGCUUGCUCGUGUGUGUGUGUGUGUGUGUGUGUGUGUGUGUGUGUUUAUAACCUUGCUGUAUGUGUGCGGCAGACAUUUCCUGUAGACUACCUCCUUCCUGAAAAAGUCUGAGCUUUGUAUGGUUUGAAUAGCCAUAGAAUUCUUAGUGUCAACAGAUCAGUAUUCAGGAGAGAUUCUGUACCUUCAGCUCACAUCUGGCGUCCACCCCCAGUCAUCUUGCCAGGGCAAAUGGUGCUGGGCAUCAGUAGACUGAGGCAGGGGAGAUGAGCAGGUUGUCAGGGUUUGAGAUGUCUUCUGAGGCCUCUUGGCUUUUAUUCUGCUCUGGACCAUCUCUGCUCAGCUCAGUGACUGAAGGUGUAAAGGUUUCAGGGUCCUGGGAAGGCCUGGGUUUGGAGAGUCUGCUGAUUUCCUUGGUUUUCUGUGGCUCAGUGUAGUGCCACAGACCCCUGUGUAUACUUCCCUAGGUGCGUUUUCACUUGAUCUGUACUUUUCUCUUACUUGUGCUGAUUUUUUUAAAUACAAAAUUAAAAUGUCAGGUCUAACUUAAGUAAUCUUUUAAUGAUUUCUCAUAAUAUUAUUGUGAUGUUACAGUCCUUGUAGUCAGUAUGUUUGAAUAAGAGUAGACAUUUCCACUGAUUAAAAAAGUAUAUAAUAUAUAAUUGAAUCUAAAAGCCCUCAUAAGGCCAUCAUUAAGCUUCCUUGAGUUAAAAUGUAAGUUUAUUUUCCCUUACGUUUUAACAGUUAAAAUGUAAGUGUAAUUUUUUUUUUCACUGUGGUUUUUGUUUUUGAGAUAGGAUCUUUCUAUGUCACCCAGGCUGGCUGUGAACUGAAUCCCAAAUGCAGGCAUUUACAAGUGUACACCACCAGGUCUGACUGUUUUUUCAAGUUUUGGUGGAAAAAGCAAGGCCAUGAACUUGGAUAGAGUACUGGACUUUUCUUCUUAAACUGGAAAAUUCCUUUCAGAUUUGUAUUCUGUACUAGAGAUCAAAAAAGCCAGGAGUGGCUGGCAGGUAUACCAGAGGCUUGGCCUUCAUGGCGUAAUGCCAGCUGUUGAUGUUAACACAGUCUUUUGUUCACCUUGGCCUUGUGCUAUGUGAGGUCUAGGACUGUUUUACCGUGGCCUGUGAUUUUAACAUUCUGAAAGGCAGCUUUAUAUGGUAAUGUCUUAAGCACCAUUGAGACCCUCAGUAGAAUUGUAGAAGAGCAGGUUGGCAGUCUUCUGGAACACACCUUGAUUAGGAAAAGGUUUUCUUUUUUGAUUUUUGAGACUGGGUCUUAGUCUUUAGUCUAGGCUGGCCUCAAACUCUUGGCAAUCCUCCUGCCUUGGUAUCCCAAGUACUGAGAUUAUGACUGUAAGCUAUUGUUCGGCACAGUAGACGUUUUUCAACAUAGAAAUUUCUCCCAAAGAUUCACUCUAUUAAAAUGACAUUCACACUGUAACAUACACAGUGAGGGUUUAGCAUAAGAAAUAAAUUCUGUAUAGCAUCCAGACCUGCUGAGUCCUUCCCGCACCCCAGCAGAUGACUCUAGAAUCAAACACUGUCCUAAAUCACUGACUCAACAUGAAGUUGCUGUUUGAUUCUCAAAUACAGAUUGUUUUUUUUAACGUGGAAAAUUCUAACUUGAAAUUUUCUGGAGCUUUGUCAUAGCUUUUUCCAAUUUCCCAUUAAUUCUUUCUCAUGGGAUUCAUUCCCAAAUGCCUUCUGGAUUCCCUGCACGUCCUGACAGCUGUUCCUUUUCAUCUCUGUGUUACGCACGACUGACAGUUUUAUUUUUAUGGUCUUCUUACAGACUUCUUUGACUUUAUGUUAUAUUUUACCAACAGCUUCACAACUACAUCAGGUUACUUGACGCUAAAGUAUAUGCCAGCUUCAGCCUUCUUGCUGGAUUGUAAAAUGCUGUUUUUGUUGUGGUUUUUCUUUCUUUUUUUUUUUUUUUUUUUUUUUUUCAAUUUGGGACACUUAAGCAGCUGAAGGAACAGUUUACUCAGUGGCUUGUCCUGUUUAUCACUUAUUUACUACAUAUGUGUCAUUCGCCUGUGCCAAAAACUGGGAGUCAUGCCACGGUGCCAUGCUUUGGCUUGGAAAGGCGUGGAGACAAGUGCGGGCCUGAGCAGAAACCUGGGGCUGGGAAUGAAUUUCCAAACCCACAAGACUGAGAGUGUUGAUGCUGUGGUCUGGGGUGAGGGUGGGAAUGGAGGGGAUGGGGGAGCGGGGUGGGGGGUCUCAAGUGGAUUUGAACGGCUAACUGUUCUUUGACACAGGGCGCUGGGAAGGGACAGACACAUGAUCUAUCUCCGGCAGACACGCCCAGAUGCUGGCUUCUGUGGAAAGCGCUUUGUUAGUUUUCAUCUAGGUCUGCUGUUCCCAGUGCUGGCGCUGCCCCAUCCUUCUCUUACAGUAUCAGAACUACUUACUGAAGGCACAGUCUCCAUCUCUGAGCAGGGUGCUUACGGGUGAUGGUGCGUCUUGUGUUCCGUGGAACUUGUUGCUAUCAGAAUCAUGUCUUCACCUGUGAACAGCAGAUGGGAGAGGUCAGUUGUCAUCGUGGUACGAGGGUCCAGCGAGUGCUCCAUCUGAAGCUGACAGUCCUUCAAGCUGCUUUGCUGUUGCUGAAACAGAAUGUGACACGUGGCUAGCUUGCCAGAAAGAAGCCAUUUCUUAGGAUGUUCUGCCUGCAUGUUGCCUGCAGGCCUGAAGAGGGCACCAGAUCUCAUAGAUGGUUGUGAGCCACCAUGUGGUUGCUGGGAGUUGAACUCAGGACCUCUGGAAGAGCAGCCAGUGCUCUUAACCUCUGAGCCAUCUCUCCAGCCCUGACUUUUUUUUUUUUUAAAGUAAGUUAGGUUUUGUUUUUAUGAGCUGGAUCUUGUUUUGCUUAGACUGAUGUUAGCAACAGUCUCUUCAAGUAUCACCUCCUGAGUAGCUGGGGCUACAGGUGCAUGCUACCACAUCUGGCUUAAAUCUGCAUUUAAGAACAACCUUAUAAUUUCCCAUGAGUCCUGCUAGAACUUUUAAAAAGACCCUAGCUGGAGCUUCAGCUCCAUUGGUAGAGUGACCUCCAAGCAUGCUAGCCCACGGUUUGAUCCCCAUCACGUCACAAACUGGGAGUGGAGGUGCAAGCCUGUCAUCCCAGCACUAGGAAUGUAGAGGGUCAAGUGGCAAGUUCAGGACCAACCUAAGGUGCAAGACCCUUGUGAUUAAUGGGAACUAGCCAUGGGUUAUUUUACAUUGUGUGUGCUAGGUGGUUGAGUCACAGUGAACCUGGCAGUUGGUGCCACUGUAAGGUGUGAGCAUGAUUUAAAAGGUAAACGACAUUAAGUAACAAACUCUUACUUUUCAUUCAGUUCAUCUACAGUUUAGUGAAAAGCGUGUGUUCUGCUAUGGAGUGAGUGCAGUGUAUAUACACCGGUGUGUACACAGGAUGGGGUCGGGGGAGUUCCUGUGUUCUGCCAUGGAGUGAGUGCAGUGUAUAUACACCAGUGUGUACACAGGAUGGGGUCGGGGGAGUUCCUAUGUUCUGCCAUGGAGUGAGUGCAGUGUAUAUACACCGGUGUGUACACAGGAUGGCGGGGGGAGUUCCUGUGUUCUGCCAUGGAGUGAGUGCAGUGUAUAUACACCGGUGUGUACACAGGAUGGGGUGGGGGGAGUUCCUGUGUUCUGCCAUGGAGUGAGUGUAGUGUAUAUACACCAGUGUGUACACAGCACAGGAUGGGGCGGGGGAGUUCCUGUGUGUGUGAGUUGGGAUGGAUGAUGAAAAGGACUUGACAGGGUACUCCGCUCCUCAGGAACUAUUGCCUGUGUGUCCACCCCUCCUUGCUUAUUUUACUGAAAUCUAUAUCUCAUAUUACUCAGUGUCACCCCUUUGUAUAAGUAGAUCUGUAGAUGGGUGUAAGCAACACCUGCCCAGAAGAAGAGCUGUCAGCUGGCGAUACUAAUUACAUGUCUUAGUUUAGUUUAGUUUAUGUUAAGGAGACCUGCAAAGUAUUACAAUCACCUUUUGUUCUUUUCUGAAAAAGCAAUUGAAACGGUAACUGCUAACAGUCCUUAAAAUUAACAUUAGUUGUUCUUACAGCUGGACAGAACGUGUCAUCUCAUCUGUCUACACAGGAGCACUUAACUGUAGAGACGAUGGGGUGUUGUUUUAAGGCUGGUGAAGCCGGUGUGGAGUCAGGAGUUUAGGGAGAUGGGGCAAAGGACGAAUGUGCACUGUGAGGGCUUUCUCAUGCACCGCUGUUCCGAGGAAAGGCGGUGGGCCACCGGGUGCAUCCCCAGGCACUGCAGGGACCGCCCUGGGUAGCCAGUCGGGCAGGGGUCCUCCUUCUGUUGCUUCUAAGCUUUCUGCAAAAGCUUUGUUAACUUCCAUAGAGAUCAUGUGUAUUUUAAGAAAAUGAUACAUUUUAAAAAAACUUUUAUGUAAGAACUGACAGAGGGAUUUGCUUGUAUGUGGGAAGCUGGCUUUAAGAAAGCACUCUGGCAUGUUUACUACAAGUCCAGAGCUAUGGAGAUCUGUUUAUAGAUAUAUGUGCAACUAGAUAUGGACAAUUGUAUUUUUUUAAAAUAAAUAUUUUUAACAAAUGA